rnacentral:rRNA from 1 species
UCAAUUAUUUAUAGCCUCUGGCUAUAGGAAAUUGUUAGUGGCAGACGGGUGAGUAAUGCGUAGGAAUCUACCUAGUAGUACGGAAUAGCCAUUAGAAAUGGUGGGUAAUACUGUAUAAUCCCCGAGGGGGAAAGAUUUAUCGCUAUUAGAUGAGCCUACGUUAGAUUAGCUAGUUGGUGAGGUAAUGGCUUACCAAGGCUAUGAUCUAUAGCUGGUCUGAGAGGACGAUCAGCCACACUGGAACUGAGAUACGGUCCAGACUCCUACGGGAGGCAGCAGUGGGGAAUAUUGGACAAUGGGCGAAAGCCUGAUCCAGCUAUGCCGCGUGAGUGAAGAAGGC